rnacentral:lncRNA from 1 species
UGGAUUUUGGUUGGAACUUUUUUUUUGCACACAAUGUGUUUGUUGAAAGUCUACAACUAGGUGUUUGUCAAUUUUUGCCCAUAAUUCCUUAUUGUUCCAAGUGUAAUAUAUCAAUUAUGUAGAGAGGAAUGGAUUAGACCUAAGAAUUUCCCUUAUACAUCAAGUGUUAGUUAAAAGGUUUUCAAUUCAAUUUUAGCUACUAUAACCCUAUACUCUUGUGCUACUAUAUCACAUUAAGUUUGGGGGUGUUUGUCCACUCCACAAUCCUCACACAUAAUGAAAAUUUCAAUUGAGUCACGUUAUUCACUUCAUCCUUGCAUAUAUCAUUAAUACAUAUUUUCCUUAUACAAGUUGAUGAAAUAUAAUUUGGCCUAACAUCUUAUUUACAUUUGUAGGAUAUAACUCAUUUACAAUACCUCCAAGAACAACAAUCUUUAGAGCAAAUAAGCGAAAGGGAAUUAUCGAGUCCUCUAGCACUAGAAAGGGGGCUCAAUUCGAGCUUUUGUCUUAUGAAACUUAUAUUUUUUAGGAACUAGCACAAUGUGCAGAUAUAUUCAAUAAUUGGACUCUUAUUCACAGGGAGUGCAACUAGACCAAAUCCAACUCAUGAACAUACUGAACAUUGUCAGGGAAAAGGGGUGGACCAAACUGUAUGCUAAACCCAAUAAGGUUUACACAUACGUAGAAAGCGAAUUCAUGUGUAGCUUCAAUGUAGAUGAUAUGGAGGAAGAAAGCGAGGACUAUCUAAAACAUAUGUGUGUUCAAGUGUAUUAUAAUAUUGAAGAAAGGUCUAAAGUACUAAGACCAUUGAUUAGGACACAGUAGCGCAAUUCGUAUAUUCAAGGGCCAAGCCUAAGGUUGGCCAACCACCAACAUAGUUGAUCAUGGAAAAAUGAAUGAUGAACUAUGUAUCUUCCAUCAUUUUCUCUCAAGCAACAUGAUCCCAACAAUAUACAAUACUGUAUUACUGUAAUUUAUAUAUUAAAGAUUACGUUUCUGUACAAACUAGCCAUGAGAUACAACUUAAUUUUGGAUAAAUCAUCAUCAACACAAUCAGGGAUCGUCCUAUGUUUCCUAGAGAUCACACAAAACUAACAAUGCCUAGUUUGAUUUCUGCAUUGUGGAAAAGAGCUGGAGUACCUAUGACACUAUUUGAAGUAGAAAAAAAAGGUGACACCACUUAUAUGCCUUACAAUAACGAGAUAGUCAAAGUCACAGAUAAAUCGGCACAAGCAAGGGAGAUUGGUAGUAGAAGCAAAGGAAGAGAAUGCAGAAGAAGAUAUACCCACUCUAGAAGAAGAACCAAUCGACAGAAAAGUCCCAAUUUUCUCACCAUGUCUCAAUCAUCGAGGUGGUGUUAACUUUGGACAGUCACUAAGGCACAUCCAGAUGUCCAUGUAAAAUGAAGAAGAUGUCAUUAGAUAGCUAGAUGAAGAGCAAAGGUCGCUAUAUGAAGGGCAAAGACAAUAUCAUGAAGGUUAGAGACAACUGCAGGAGGGAUAAGAAAUACUUCAUACCACGCUCCGUCCCAUGAAAGGGGGUCAUCAUCGAGGUCAUGAUGAAAUGAUGAUGCUUAUGGGACAAUUUCAUUGGCUGCAGUAUCCACCACUACCUCUAGCAGAUCACUGAAAAACUCAGUACAAUAUUUCCUUUUACUUUUAUUUUUAACACUGGAGACUGAUGUGUAGCUUAAGUUAGGAGGUGUGAUUUGUACUUACAUGAUGGUUAUAUAGGUCAGAAUAUAUUUAUGCUCAUUUCAUAUUUUUAUAAUUUAGUUAUAAAUUUUUUUUUUUAAAAAAUUAUGAGUUUACGU